UCACCCUACGGGACGCAGCAGUGGGGGAUAUUGCACAAUGGGGGGAACCCUGAUGCAGCGACGCCGCGUGGGUGAAGAAGCGCCUCGGCGCGUAAAGCCCUGUCAGCAGGGAAGAAAAUGACGGUACCUGAAGAAGAAGCCCCGGCUAACUACGUGCCAGCAGCCGCGGUAAUACGUAGGGGGCAAGCGUUGUCCGGAUUUACUGGGUGUAAAGGGCGUGCAGCCGGGCUGACAAGUCAGAUGUGAAAUCCCGCGGCUCAACCGCGGGACUGCUCUUGGAACUGCGUGGCUAGAGUGCAGGAGGG
rnacentral:rRNA from 1 species